UACGAAGGGGGGCUAGCGUUGCUCGGAAUUACUGGGCGUAAAGCGCACGUAGGCGGCUUUCUAAGUCGGGGGUGAAAUCCUGGAGCUCAACUCCAGAACUGCCUUCGAUACUGGAAAGCUCGAGUCCGGGAGAGGUGAGUGGAACUGCGAGUGUAGAGGUGAAAUUCGUAGAUAUUCGCAAGAACACCAGUGGCGAAGGCGGCUCACUGGCCCGGUA
rnacentral:rRNA from 1 species